GUGCUUUAUGUACUAAUAAUAUUGAUGAUUGGAACAAUUGUUUGUUAUGUUAAUGUUGAAUUCGACGGCUUUAUUCGUGAUAAUGAAAAAGCGUGGAUUCCAAGUGUUGAUGAUGCCUAUCAUCUUGACACGUGUCAUAGAAAAUGCAAUGAAGCCUAUGACACGUCAACAAGAAAAUCAAGAAAUAGAUUAUAUGAAUGCAAAAAGUUGUGCAAAAGCAUAAAUCAGUGUAUAGAAUGGUGCAGGGAGAUGUCGUGGGGAUGAAGAUGCAUAUAAGAAAUGCAUAGAACAAAGGAGUAAAGAUAUAAAUCAUUUGUUUUAGUUUCUGACUAAAGCUAUAAAUGAAGAUCCAAUUCAGAGAUGGAUAGAAAAUUUUAAAAAUGAUGAGUGCACUUGGUACUUUAUUAAUGGUAAGUAUUUAAUAGGUUUUUUUGUGAGUUUUGUUUUCUAAAAAAUAAAUGCACCUUAUACGUACUUAAU
rnacentral:lncRNA from 1 species